UUGAUAAUUCCUAUGCAUUGCUAUCCAGUGCUUACACAUAGACGGUGCAUUCUCUGGAAUUCACCCUGGGUCAGAGCCUUCUCACCUCCCAGCACAAGCCAGUAGCUUAAGCCUCAGUGUCCCAGCUUCGGUGCACUGGGCAGGAGAUGGGUCUCCCAAGACCACUCAGCCAUGUGGUUCCUUCAGCUCUCAGCACAGCCGAGUCCAGGCUGCAGGCUCUCCAUCACAAGCCAACUACAGAGUGACACAUGUUCUCUACACAUGCCGUGACUGAAUAUGUUGUGUUCUGAAAAUAUUUGGGAGUUAAUUUGUGUUUUGUGCCUAGUGCUUCAUGGACCGGUGCUCAUUGCAUCCUUACAGCCAUCUACAAGGGUGUCACCAUUAUUUGUAUUUUAUUAGACUUAGAGAGGUGAAGUGACUUGCUCAAAAUAAUACGGUUAGCAAAUGACUGAACCCCGACCCAACAGGGAGAAUGUGGGAAGAAAUCAACAAAGCUUAUUUAACAGGUAUCUGCCAAGGGUUGGAAAAAAUAAGAUUUAUUGUUGCUCCACUGAGCAGAACACAGCCCAUCAGAGGUUACUGCACCUUCAACGACAUGUGCUUUUGACUGACCCAUCAAAACACUGGUGGCAAGAGCACUAAAUAAGUUGCCUAUCAUACUUAAUCUUUCCAGGAUUCAAAGAGGAGUGUAGAGUGAAAUGACCUAUAAGACCCCUGAGCCUAAAAUAUAAUCUAAUGGACUCAGCUUUAAAGCGCUCAUUGAGAGGAUGGCCAAAAACCAGCCGCCACAGUGCGAAGCACGAUUCCUCCACCAUCCGCAGUCCACUCGCACAAAUACCCUCAGUGAAACACUUCUUUCUCUCCACCCACUUUUGAGUAGGAUGAAAUGGCACAUUCCAUUUUCAAAGUGGGCAGCUUGCACGUAUCAGCAGUGCCAGGAAUUUGGAAAACGAUAACGUGGAACCCACAGUAACUUGCUGGCUGAAUUUACUCACCCAGGUGACCCAGGUCGAUGAGGGCUUCAGAGCCACGGGGAUUUUAAAUGCCGCUUCAAAGCCAACAAGGAGCAGAACCAGUGCUGAUUCGUGUUUAUGAUAAUGACAUUUGAAAGGCUAAAAAUUACAAAGUUGUUUACAGAGAUGGACUUAGAAAAUAAUUGUAUCUAAUGUCUCAUAAACAUAAAAGAAAGUUAUUUUGUAGUAGAUGAUUGAAAAGAAAAAAUCUCCUUUAAAAAGGAAAUAAAUAUACUAGUUUCAGACAGAAACAACUUCAAAGGCAAUCAGAAAAUUCAGUGGAAUUUUAAAGAGGGAAUCUCACUCAAAGAAUUCUCUAAAAUUGCCUAAACUUAAAAGCAUUAUUUUUCUCGAGACAUUUAAUUUAGAUUGCAUACCAAACCCUGUAAUAAACCUCCUGCAAAGAAAUAAUAAUAGACCAUAGGCAUUAUAUAUGUUCACUGUUCACUGCGUGUAAAUACAAUGAUUGACCUUCCAUCAACAGACAAGAGGCAUAACUCCAUGGCAACAGAGAAAUAGAGGUCACAAUCAUAUUUUCCAAGGCAAUUUUUGGCCCUCGGGGGAUUCACUGUUAUACUUGGAGGCCAUGUCACCUGAGAGUCAAUGGGCAACGAUCAAAUUUCACCUUGAGCAGAUUCUUUUGUUUGCUUUUUAGUCACAAAUAGCUUGGCCCUAAGUGGUGGCUCCCAUUCUUGUAAGAUGCGUUUAUUCAUCGUGUAAUCACCAGUUCCCUGUAGUGGGGGCGUGGAUGGAGUGUCAGAGGCUCCUGCUGGUCUUUAGGGUGUCUGGCCUCCAGGAAUCCUAGAGGUAGUAUUUGGAGAGAUUUUUAAAAGCUUUGUUUCUGUGACCAGCAAAACCUGGAUUUGACACUGAGGUCAGCCCGUUUCAGCCAGUGACGUAACCUGUCUUUUUGCCCCAGUAAAUUGGGAACUACAGCACUCGAUGUUAGAGUUGUCGUGAAGAUUAAAGAAGGUGACGACUGGACAACUCCCAGCCCAAUACCUGAAACUGUACCAGCACCCAGUGAGCACUGCUAUUCCUGUGACUGCUGCACAUUUGCCUUAUCUCAGCAGUAUGCCUGUGUCACUUUUUUGGCACUCUUUUCUCAUGGGUACAUUCAGAGAAGAGGAAUGUUUGUUCACUGGUGAAGAGAACAUCCCGUGUACUAUCGUGUAGAAGUUGUAGUAGACGCUGUGGUCUUUCCAACAACAAACAAACCUCGUGCCAGCAACUUAAAUCUAUCAGCAAUGGAGAAUGCCUGGCAUUGGCUUCUGCAUGAGUGCCGUUUUAGUUGCUUUGUAUUCUUCUACCUUGAUUUUUUUUUCUGUUUUUCUACAUGAGUGUUGCCUGCAGAGUUCCCUGAUUGACUCAAAGUACAUCUUCUAUAUUGCUUCAAGUAGUGCUGGUCAUGAACACAAUUCAGUCUUAGUCAGCUAUUGGAACUGAUUGACUGCAAAGUUCUGGUGCCUCUUCUCGCAGCCCAGGGCAGAUGGACGUGCUAUGUGGGGCCCGUACAAAACAGAAUCAUGGAGCUGGUGGGGCAAGGAGUCAACCUCCCUCCUAGGGCCUGCAGCCUCCACCAGGGCAGAGAGCAAGUUUCUCUCAGCUUCUGCUCUCAGGUGGUGACCUGGCAGGGAGGACAGCUUGGCAGUAGGUGCAGGCACUGGACGGGGACCUCCUGGCUCCUCUCCUAGCUCUUGCAGCACCAGCCAUAAGGCACUCAGAUCAUGCAACUUCCCGGUGUCUCCGUCUCUGCAUCUUUAAAAUGGGGCUAAUAAGAACACUUUUCUCAUAGACUUAUAAAGAGAAUUAAUUAAAAAAAAUAAUGCUUGGCUCAGAAUGUACACUCCAUGAACAUCACCUGUUACCACUUAAGAAGGGUGCGUACCCUCCAGCCGCAUCCAUGCCAGUUCCCGUUGUCUCACCCUGGGCCAGCGACACCCAUCUUAAGUCACAAUUGAGAAUACAAGCAAGACACGCUGAAAUCUACCAGAAUAAAGGUCCAUCUUCACAGAACAAGCCUGUUUACACUUGAACCCACAGUUUUUCAGUCAUAUCCAGACUUCAAGGAGGGAAGAGGGCUCCACCGCAGGCUUCCUGUAGCAAGCAUGGGGGCCAUAUCUGAGUCCCCUGUGGCGUUCUGUCACCAUAGACUGUGACUUUCAAACAGCACAGUCACUUCUCACAGUGUUAAAGGUCAGAAGUCCCAGAUCAAGGUUCUGGCAGAUCUGGUAUCUGGUGAGUAUCUGCUUCCUGGGUCAUAGAUGGCGGCUUCUCACUGUGUCCUCACAUGGUGGAAGGAGUGAGGAAGGAGUGAGGGAGCUCUCCAGGAUCUCUUUCAAAAGGGCUCGAAUCCCAUUCAUGGGGGGUCCACCUUUAUGAGUUCAUCAUAUCCUAAAGCCCCCACCUCCUAACACCAUCACCUUGGGGGUGAGAAUUUCAGCAUGUGAAUUAGGGGGAGACUCAAACAUUUACACCACAAACAGGCAAAGAGCCUGCAGCUGCUAGUGAGGCCACGGCAUCUCCCUCCUGACCAAUCUCCUCUUCUGCAAAUUGCAGCUGCUGGGACAGGACCCAGGAGGUUCCGGAGGAUCAGGAGGUCCACCUGGGAGAAGAGCUGAUCGGCUAGUAGGAGAGCUGGAAAAGCAACAGACACCUACUUAGUCCCUUCCCUGGGGCCCGGCUCCAGUCUGAGCUGUCACGCCACAGCAAAGGCAUCACUUCAGGACAGCAAAGCCCCUGUCUCCCUCCCUUCCAGCUCCUCAGACUUCACCCUGGUAACACGUUUGUUUAAAAAACAUAUUUUUCCCCCUUGUAAAGAAUCUAGGAUACAAGGGGUCAGCCCAGCAGUUUAGGUAUCAAGAAGAAACUGCUCUCGGAGCUAAAGUAAGAAACAGUGCCUGUCUAUAGCGCAAAUAAAGAGUUGGAACAAGAUAAAAGGCAGUGAUCCUUCACCAGCCAAUCUCCAGGUGGAUCUCAGGAAUCCUGUGUGAUGUGUGACAUCAUCUGGGAAAGCCCCGCAGUUGCCAUGGAGACGCACCUCCCAGGCCUCGGGAAGCUGCCCCACCUCUCUGCCACCUUCUUCCAGACUGGUCAUGGCAGGCUGGCUCUGAUCUGGGUCCCAGACAGAGGGGAAUUGGUUUGCCUUUUUUCUUUUCUUUUCUUCUUUUUUUUCUUUUCUUUUCUUUGUAAACUGCAAUGACCGUGUGUGUGUGUGUGUUUGUGUGUGUGUGUCUGUGUAUGCAUAUAUAUAAAGAAAGAGAGAGAAAAAAAAACAGAGUGCCCCACGACGCAAGGUGCCCACCUUGACAAAUACACUGUGGGCAGACAAUAAACCCUUAUGAGGUUCUGGAGUGGCAGCAGCAAUGGCCUCCUGCCCUCCUGGCGGGCUGGAGCCUCCUCCUGGCAGGUGGGGUAGGGUUGAAACAUCAGAAAUGCCGAGAAAUGUCUCGGUGCAGCCUGAUUACAGAGACACUUGUGAUCCAUGAUUUCUGCUGCUCCACUGCUGAAAAAAAGAAAAAGGCCUGGAGUGCCUCAUCCGCUGUGGUUUCUCUCCCAUUUAAGUAAAAUUGGAAACUUUUUUAAAAAGAAAGCACAAUCAUGUAAUUAGUGCAGGCUCUCUUUUCUGGUUUUUUGAAAAGAGGCAUUUUCACACACACCUUAGUCCAUCUUAAACCCUUUCAACGUUCUGCAUGCUCUUCCUAAUUCCAGAGAGACAGAAUUUUUAUUUCCUUCGAUCGCAGGGAUACCUACAAUGGAAUUUACGUCUCAAUUAACAGUUUGACCAAGGGUUUACAAGUGGUUGAAUGGAGUACAAAUGAAGAAUUCGAAGAAACGCAAAGAGAGAAAGUGGACCGCCCAUAGACACCUGCUCUAUGCAAACAAUGGACUCCUUCCCUUUAUCUUAAGGGGUCUUACGCUACCUGUUUCUACGUCCUUUGCUGGUUCCCAUGACAGAAAUACACACGUUUCAGACAAGAUUAAAAUACAAAAUCCCAACCAUAGCCUCAUCUUUGCACACACACUCUCUCAUUUCCUGUUGGUACCAGCACUUUUCUAUUUCGGUCCUGGGUAUGGCUCACUAACCUACAGCAG
rnacentral:lncRNA from 1 species